AACCUCAGAGGAAGAAGAUUAGUUUCAGUGUGCUCUCUGAAGUUAUGUCGAGGUGCUGGCUGAAUACGAACUGUUAAAAAGAUAUUUUAUUUUUUAAAUCAGGUCAAUAAAUGUCUGUAAUAUUCACAUCCUCAUAGACGUGACUAAGUUCUAUCAAGCAGGAAUAUCUGGAGGAGUAUCAACUGAACUGAGAUCUGCUGCUGUGAAGAUGGUGUUUGUUAAAGAGGAGAGUGAGGAGGACAUGAGUGAACCAGAACCCUGGAGAAUAAAACACGAGGAACAAGGAGGCCUGAUGAAAGUGAAAGAGGAAAGACCAGAUCUGAAUGAAGUGGAGGAGAAACAUCAUCAGAAAGUUCAUGAUGUCACCGCUGGAGAGAAGCCAUUGAGUUGCUCCAAAACUGAAAACAGUUGUUCACAAAGCAGCAUCCAAAUAACAGAAGUCAAAAAGCCUAUCACCUGUUCUCAGUGUGGAAAGACUUUCUCACGUAAAGAAAACCUUAAGACGCACAUGAUAAUUCAUGAUGGAAUAAAGCCUUUCAGCUGCUCUCAGUGUGGAAAAAGUUUUACACAGAAAGGAAACCUUAAAACUCACAUGUUAAUUCAUGCUGGAAUAAAAUCUUUCUCCUGCUCUCACUGUGGACAAAGUGUUACACAUAAAGGACACCUUAAUGAUCAUCUGUUAAUUCACACUUCAGAAAAGCCUUUCACCUGUUCUCAGUGUGGAAACACUUUCAGAUGUAAGAGAUACCUUAAAACUCACAUGAGAAUUCACACUGGAAUAAGGCCUUUCACCUGCUCUCACUGUGGCAAGAGUUUUACACAGAAAGUUCACCUACAUGAGCAUGAGUUAAUUCACACUUUAGGAAAGCCUUUCGUCUGCUCUCAGUGUGGAAACUCUUUCACACGUAAAUCAAGCCUUAAGAAUCACAUGUUAAUUCAUACUCGAAAAAGCCCUUUACCUGCUCUCAGCGUGGAAAGACAUGAGAAAUCACACUGAAGCAAUGGCUUACACAUGUGUUAGGAAAAAUAUGUUUGCAUCUCCUUUUCUGUCCAUCUAAUCAUUUCUUCUACAGCGUUUAGUCACACACUCGUAAGACAUGUGAUAGUUAUUAUAUAUAAGGCGUAAGGUUGCAUUUGGUAUAUGAAUGGAAUUGUUUGUCUCUCUAUGAACUCUUUCAGCGAAGUUGGCAGUCUCGUUUCUUUUCCAUAUGGACUUAUUAUUUUAUUUGUUGUUUUUAGUCAACACCUGAGACUUGCUGAAUAAACUAUGGCAUGAGCACAAUAAAGCUGACUUUGAGUCUGCA